AAAACGGUUUUACUAUUUAUCGUUUGAGCGGAGCUGCAGUUUAACUAACUUGAGCUUCGAAUCAUGCCGACUGCUGUAAGUACGGUGGACUCAGCAGCGGGAGUACGUGCACUGGCUCAGGCUCUGCCACGUGCAUUUUUGUCAACGAAACGGUCAUAUUUGAAUUUGGGUUUUCAUCCUCUUCAGCUAAGGAGAAUUGUACUGAUACAGUCUUCGCCAACAAGAAAAAGUCUGAUAAUAAGAGCUGCAAGAACCGAGUCUCAAGGAGUCUCCUUGGGCUUCAAAGCCUCUCGUUUUGAGGUAUUUCCUCAUGAUUGUUGAUAAAUUAUGCGUACUUGAUUACUUUAUGUAUUGUUUGAAAUUUUUAUUGCAAAUUUUUGUUCAUUUAUUUAUCAUGCUGAAUUGGAGACAAGUGGUUGCCAGAACCCCCGACUGGGAAAGUUUGGAAGUAGGAAGAUUUUGAAGCCUAUCCUGCUUUAUUGGUUAUGUUUAUUUGCAAUCGUUGCCUAUUAUUGUAUGGAGGUAGGCCAUUCCUCCUGAAAGGCUGAUUGCUGCUUCAUUCUGAAUUUGCAAUAGUAGCACAUCCUACUAUCAUUGCAUUUUUCUGCAGAAAGGACUAGCAGCUGCUGCUAUAUCUUCAUAUUCUGAAGCUACUCACCCUCAGGUUCUAGUGAUUUCAGAAUUUGAGAUUAGAGCUGAACUGAAGCUAUUGUAUGAUUUCUACAAAAUGAAAAUGUUCUUCACAAGAUGAAGCAGAAUUCAUGGCAGAAGAGCUUAUGUUAUUUAAGUACCCCUGCCCUUAUCUGCAUGAUGAGGAUGGUCAGAGGCCAUUUUAGCUGGUGUAUCAUGGCCAAUUUGAUGAUUCACAGCCAAGUGAUAAUCUGCCUGUUACUGGGAGGGACAUAUGCGGUGCAACUAAAUGUGUUCUCAGUGGACAGCCAGCAUCAUUAGUUCAGAAACCCAGGAAUCAUACUUACCGUCUGUGAUAUGCAUCUUUUUUUCUUUAAUAUGUCCUUAAAUCAAUGGUAUUCCAUGAUUAUACGCUCAAAGUCAUUGUUUUCUAUUUUUCAAAGGUGUUGGUUGCAGCAUAAAGUGGCACCAACAGACAAAGCAGUGAUAUGUAAAUGUUCAUUUCAGCGCUCUCAAGAUCAUGCUGUAUAUUAGUUCAACUAGUUUCCUCUCUGAUAUCACUGGCUUAUCACUUCAGAGGCAAAAUGCAAAAGUGAAUGUAACAAAAGAUGAUCAAAAGGUUUAGUUGAAUGGUUGCUUGCAUUCUUAGCCACUGGAGAUUGAUAAGGUAGAACAAGGUAUUUGUGGGCCUAAGAUAGGUUGAUCUCACAUGGCCAGAGACAACGAAUCCUUUCAAAUAACAUGUGGCAUAUGACCUCUAAAUCUUCAUUGAAAUAGAUGUUGCAAAAGCUUGUGGGGAAGGGGAAUGGUGGUCCUUUUGUUUCACCAUGAUUUUAUGUUCUAUUAGGCUCAUGCCAACCAAGAUUUGUGUCACCACCUAAACUUUUCUUUCACUUUUCACUGGCCAGCUCCUCACAGACAACCCACUGGGCUAAAAGACAACAGUUUGCUCUGCUUGGUCCCCAGUCUGAAAAUGUAAUUGCAAAGACAACCAUGUUGAUUGAUUCAUAGUAUACUGUACAACUUUUCAUUAUUGUUUACUUUCUGUGCAUCUAUGCUGUUGGGAAACAUCUUUUUGGACUGUUGAGUGGCAGAUUGUGAUAUUAUUUUUAUCUUUUAUAGAUGUUGUUUACAACAAUAAUUUUACAAGUUUAGCUUAAUAUUGUAUAUUGUUUCU